AGAGGGCUGCUGAGGGGGCUUCCUCUCCUCUCCCUCGCGAUUAGUCGACACCCCCAACACCCCCCUCCUCCUCCUCCUCCUCCGCUCCCUCCCACGUCGUCCCAGGGAGUGGGCGCCAGGCGCGCGAGCCACCUUCCCCGCCAACCAGAGCCAGGCGCGCAGGCGAGGAGCUCGCGGCUCUUCCCCUCACGACUUCCUUCCACGGAGAAGAAGCCGCCGCCGCCGCCGCCUCUUUCCCGCCCCUCACGCGGCGCGCUCGGGGUCUCUCUCGCCGCCGGGGAAGCCCUGCAUGCUGCUGAAGCAGCUGCCGCUGCUGGUGGCCAGGGCGAGAGCCCCGUUGCUUCUUCGCCUCGCCUCGGCGCGCUCGCCUGCCCGGCAGCAGCAGCAGCACCUCAGCCCAGACGCGCCGCCGACGGGAGAGGCGAGGCGAGGAGGAGGAGGCGGCGGCGGCGGCGGGCCAGGGCGCUCCGGACCGGCGGAGGGAACCAUGAACAGCGCCAAAGGCGAGCAGGAGCACAGCCCCGCCGAGCCGAACCUGCAGGAGGAAGAGGUACGAACGCUAUUUGUCAGCGGCCUGCCUCUGGACAUCAAGCCCCGGGAACUCUAUUUGUUGUUCAGACCAUUCAAGGGUUAUGAAGGCUCUCUUAUUAAACUCACAUCUAAGCAGCCCGUGGGCUUCGUUAGUUUCGACAGUCGCUCAGAAGCAGAAGCUGCUAAGAAUGCUUUGAAUGGAAUCCGCUUUGACCCAGAAAUUCCCCAGACGCUCCGGCUAGAGUUCGCCAAGGCCAACACGAAGAUGGCCAAGAGCAAAUUAGUGGGGACACCAAAUCCAAGCACUCCUGCCACCCCCAACACUUUACCUCAGUUCAUUACCCGGGAGCCGUAUGCGCUGGCUCCCUCCCUCAGAGGCUACUUCUCAGGGCUGGAAGUCCCGUCAGUUCUGCUGAAUACUGUGUACCAGGUGUGUGAUGGCGGCUACAAUCUGUCUUGUGGGUAUUAAUGCGUUCUUCCUAAGUCGCUACUGGUAUCUUACCUCCAUCUUCAAAUUUGCAGUGUGGUGGGCUUGAAAAAACCUCACACAAGGUUGGAUUCCUUCAAGACUUUGCCACAGCCUCUAUCACACAUCUGCUCUUUUAGAAGUAAAGUAAAAAUACUGAGUAAUAAUAAUGUUUUCCUCUUCUAUGCUGUUUAAAAUUGUAAGGAAGAGUGCGAAUUCUAAAAAGCAUGGCUGAACAUCUGGUUUGAAAAAGUUAUUUUCAAACAAAGCAACAAAGAGAACCAAGUAUUUUUAUACUAAGCAUUUUAAGUAGAAAGAUCUUACGCUGGGUUGGAUCACUGAUUACGUUCUUGACUUUUUGAAUGCGUGUAAUUGAAAAUUUCUCUUUCCCUGUCCUUUUAAGCUGCAUGUUCAAGGCAUGUUUUUAAAUCUUGUUCAGAUUUUUAAAAAGUGUAUUGUUAAAUUGUAUGGACUCUUUGGCUAUCCUGACGGGGAACCUGAGAGGAUGUGUGUUGAACAUAUGAAGUAUUCCUGUGGUACGUGCUUCUCCCAGUUGUGCCAAAUUAUAUCAAGCAAGACAAUCAGAUAUGCAAAUGUCUUUGUAACUUUGGGAUAUAUUACCGUGUGCUGAGCAGUAUACUGGCAGUUCUGACAGCUGGUUUAUGCUGUAUUUUAUCUGUGGUCACAUAUUUUGAUAUAAAACUAUAUGGGGGAGAUGUGCUUUUUUUCUAUGGCUUUCUACUGUGCACUAAGACCAUUUUCAUAAUUGCAACAGCUAGAAAAAGUGCAGUCAUCACAAUAAAAUGACUGCAGCUACCUCUGCAUACUGUAUUCAUUCAGACACAUAGUUCCCAACAUGCCGUUGUGUAACCAGUAGGAUUCCUUGGUAGAAAAGGAAAAGCAUCUAGUUGGGUUAUGGGAACCCGUCUUGAAUGGCAGAGCCACAGAGGAAAUGUCUUCUGUAAAGUAGGUUCAUAGCAUUCCUAGUCUACUUGUUUUAAAAGAAAUAAGGGUACAUUUGCAUGCCUUUGCUCCAUGUACAGGAAGGAUUGGUUCUGCUAAGGUGGUGGUGCUGCUGUCUGUGAAGCUGACUGAAACAUUGAGCAGUAAAGCUUAAGUUCAUUUCAUGCCAUUAUCCCAUAUGCAUGCAGAAAACCAAAGGCCUUCUGUCACUGGAUCCAGAUCUAAGGCUCUUCUUCUGUACAGAUUUUCUAGGAAGUGCCAAACUUGGAUACAACAGUUGACCUUCCAAUGUCGCCACUAACAUCCUCCAUGUGUGUGCAAGGCUGCCAGGUUGUGUGAAACUCACAUAAAAAGAGCCAACUCAGCGCCAUUGUUCUAUUAGUUUGAUGUCUGCCCUCUGUCUAUACAUAGACAUUUCUGGGAUAGAGGAAUUCAGCAGCCCCUGUGUACCUACUUUUGUAUAAAGUGUCGCUCCACCAGUGCCAAGAUGAAUGCCAGGAUCCCUUGAGGUAUUGGGAGAGAGUACCAGUUUGAUUUUGCAUGUGAUCGUCUCUCUUACUGAACAACUACUUGGAUUGCUUGUGCCGUCAACUGGGGUGUGGACACAAUGGAUUCGAUUAGUCAUCUGCCUUCUCAAGCCUGAUUCAUGCCACCAUUUUCAGGUGUGAUAUGUGGGUUGAGUGAAUGCAGCUUGUACGCUGUCCUCUGACCUGCUAAUGAAGUUGGUUACAUGAUUUAGGCACUAUUGGACAACCUUCCUGUAAAUCAGUCAAUCAGGAUAUCUGUCUGUAGUGUUGUAACAAAGACAGUUGCUUCACAAAAGGCAGAGAAGUAAAAAAAUAAAUAAAUUAGAAUUGACCUUGUCGUCAAAAGAUGAUUAUGUGAACCAGUCCCUCUGAGUACCAUGAUGAUGUGGAGAGAAGGCCAGGGCCCCUGGAUCAUUUAUUGGUGUAGAAGACAAAACUUCCAACAGAUGAGCUUCCUUCUUUCCUGAAUGAUAUGCUCCACAUGCCAGAUUCUUGCUUCCUAUCCUCCUUUGCAAUCUAGUCAUGAUACAGCUAUACGAUUACUUCCAUAACAAUACUGGUAGUUCUGACUAAACAAGGAAACUGUUUUAAUACGGUUAAAUAUUUCCAAAUGGGCUUCCCCAAGUAUUGUUAAAUCUCCUGAGAACAAAUGACUUCAUUGUCUUAAAGAGAAUGCAGUAUUUUGCAGGGAAGACAAGUGACAAAUGUCAAGCAGUCAGAGGCUUUAAAAUUGCAGGGGAAAGGGGGUAGGUAAAAACCUAUUCUUAAAACUAAAUGGAAGACUUGAGAACAGAAUUAAAAUGUGACAGCGGGUGGCUGAAUAACAGAAUUGUGUCGGACUUUGUCAGCAAAAAACUUGAUUUUUCCAUAUCUCCUCCUAUUGGCAAUAGCAGAAACAGAAGAUGCUUCCAAUUUAUGGUUUUGUUUUUUUAAAAAAAAUGUUGUUAAAGGUACUUUUCUAUUGUAAUUUUCUAAAAAUAAAGAAACUAUGAUUAUAACUUA